UAUAUUUGCACCUUAAUUUACAAUACAUAAAAAUUAUUAAAAAAAAUAUUUGCAUG
ncrna:unclassified sequences S15-Flavobacteria ribosomal protein leader